CUUCUUACGUUGCAGAGUCAUCUUUCUAUAUUCUGGCACUGAUGUUUAUGAGAUGGAGAAGAGCAGAGUGCAGUUUCUGGAGAACUCAGCAGCCCCAGCUGGACAGCAUUGCCACCUACCGGCAGAUAUUCCAGCACCGACCAACCAGGGAACAGGCAGCAGCUUCCUAACCAGGCCUCUCGGGACAAAUGCAGAUUCCUCACUCUCACACCACUGUUCUGUCACCCCUAGGACAGCUCACGCAUGGAGAGCAAAGUGAGCACAAGUGAUGUUAGCCCUGGUGUUCAGUGCCUGAGAGGAAGAUGGCACAGCAGCCAGCACGCUGGCAUGGGAGCAGCUGCCAUCAUGGGCACGAGGUGCCUCUCAGGCUGCGUGGUGAUGCUGCUCUUCAGGCUGCCCCAAAGGGCUCUCAGGGGCUUCCUUAGACCCCUCAGACAACACUGCAUCAGUCACACUCCUGAAGCACAAUUCAACACUGAAAUUGAACAGGCAGGGAGAAGAAAAUACCUGUUGCCAACAGGCAAAUAAAUCUCGGUCUCUGCAUUGGACAGUAAUUUUGGUGAUUAAUUUUGUCCAGAGAUGGAACUAGGCAGAUGGCUGCUUGCCAAUAAUUUUAAGAAGCAGGUCCUAAAAACUCAUCACCCUACAGCUUGAAAUAUAACCAAGUGCAAACUGGAGGAUUCUCAAGUGUGCCCAGGACCUCAUUCCUUCAGGAAAGCCCACUAUGACAUAAAAUCCAGCCAUUCCACAGAGUCCUCAAAUGACAGAGGAGGUCCCAGCCUUGAGUGUUGAACCAGAACUUUGGAAACUUGUUUCUAAAUACACAUAGCAAAGACCCACACAGCAAAGACAAUGAGGAGAGUGUUCAAUGCAUGAAAGGACAUCAGAGCUCCACCAGCCAUCACGGUCCUUGCCCACACCAGGAAACCUUCAGUGAUUGACCCCAAGGCAAGUCAAUUCAGCCUCUCUGACCUCUGUUCUUCCCCUGCAUGUAGCUCACUCAGUUUUUCCUGCUGCAGAGGAUGACUGAGAAUGAUACAUUCCUGCAGCAUGAAACCCCAAGUACAUCCAAACAGCAAAACCUGCCCAAGUUUAACCAUACUGAACUGUUACCAAAAUGGCAGGCCCUGCUCAGUUCUACAGGAUGAGACACCUUAGUUCCAUGGAGCCAGGUACUUCCAAGCCAAAGUGGCAUUUAUCAAUAUUUCCUCAGCUUUUCAUCUCUGCUAUGUUUUUGUGUGGGCAAAAGAAUAAAGUUCAAGCCAACUCUAAAGGAAAUGAGUAACAAAGGAUUGCACUGCCCACAGGAACUGGCUAAGGUAGAAUAUUUUAAACAGUGCCAAGGAUGAUGGGCAUGGCAGCAGCAGCUCAGAGAAUGUAUCCUUCAUCUCCUUCCCACAACACUGACUUCUGCUUCUGAAAAUUCUGCUGCUAAAAAAAAUUCAGUUGAGUUCUGCAUGACUCUCAGAAUGGAAAAUGGUGCAGAACACAGAAGCCUUCCCACCCGGCUCAGUGGUGCACCUGCCACAACAGGGAUCUGAAGCCAAACUUUAGUGAAAGGCAGCUUCAAAGAUACUCAGUCCCAAGAAGAAGCACAAGGUCUCAGAGCUUGUGAGCAAAGAUGGAGAAGGGAAGGAAGCAACAGGACUCAAGCCUCUUCAGAAACCUGAGAGCCCAAACGGAGAUGGGUAGAACAGAAAAGGAGGCUUACAAAAGCAGCAACUGCUGGGAAGUUCCAGAGAGCACUUGUAACUGACUGGGCAGGAGAGAAUAAAGCAGAAUUACUGCCACAAAGUUUAAGCAGCUUGGCUUUGUGAAAGAAAUGAUAGCUUAGAAAUAAAUGCUGCCACAGAAAUAUUUUAAAGCAUACCCAGCAUGUCAAGAAUAAUAAAGAGAAAAUGUCUCUGUCCUGAACACACACACCAAAAAAAAAAGGGUUUGUUUUUUAAGAAUAAAUAGUUUGACUUAUUUUUGUACCAUGAGAGACAACUACCAAAACCCUAAAGGAAGAAGAGUCCGUAUCAUAUUACUAAAGGCCCUUGGCCUUUUCCCUACUAAUGCACAACCGGGCAGGAGUUUUCACGAUCUUGAAACAAAAAGCAAAUUAUUUAAACUAAGUAUGAACAUUCCAACCAACACAGUUGUUUACAACUGUGAUCUCUGGGUUUCCCAUUGCUAUUUUCUUUGCACCUUCCAAAUUUCUACUCCCUACCCCGCACCAAGUCUUCCAAAAUUACACUAUCUUUACACAGAAUGUAAGCUAGGGAAUGGGAAGGAUGCUGUUUUCUAGAAGUGUGUUUGGGAUUAAGCCUGUUAUGCAAAGUCCAGAGACAAAAGCUGCUUAUCUGGGCAAGAUGCUUUGACAUCACUAGCUAUAAAAUAGCAAAGUAGCAUAAAUCAAAGCAUAAUCCCCAUGAUAAAUAAAAGGGGUUUUCCUGUUUGGUUGGUUUCCCCCCCCCCCCAGUGACAUUUCAGUACAGUGCUUUUAAAAAAAUCCUUUUGAUUGUUGAAUUAAAAGUCAAGGAAACUCCAUUUCUUACCUAUGUUUUUUCAAGUUUUAUGUUCGUAAGAAUGUAUGGAGUUUCUCUGCUGGAUCAGGGCUUUAGUCUCUAAAGAGUUACAUCUCUGCAACAACUACAAAAUGCUUCACAACAAAAGAAAACCAAGGAAAGGAGAGGAUUCUAGCAUCUCAGAAAGUUUCACACAUUAAAACAGUAAUAAAAUUAUCCCUUGAGCAAUGGUACAAAUCUUCAGGAUUACUUCAAAACACUGUAGCAGACACAGACACAAUUUUCCAUUUGCUCUUUAAUGAACUCCCCCCACUCUCACUGCUGUACACUUAAUGUUUUUGUCAAAGUCAACUCCCCUCGAGGCCUUCCUUCAGGCAUUCCUAAACUGUAGCUCCUGAGGAGCACCAGCUUGACGAGUGAUUCAAGUGAACUCCCACAGCAGGGUUACGUACAGAGGGGCCUGCUGCGUAACCAAGAGUCAAGGUGUGGAAGGAAGAGUGCAGGCACUGAGCAAUUGAUCACAGCUGGCACACCCAGGCUGUGCUGGGCUCCUGCAGCCUGUCCAGCCCUGUCUCAUCUCACAGAGAAGUCACUGUCACUGCCUGCCUCAACACCGUUCCACAGCUCUUUCUCCAUCAGACUAAGGUAUGUCGAUGGUACGUGUCUUGCUGCACUUCAAAGAGAAAGACUGGAUACACGGCUCACAGGAUCAGAAAAGCAGGCCACAACUCCAGAGCUUUCAGUCCAGGAACUGCAGCUCCAGAUGUGGGGGGUAAACAAUCUAUUAUGAACUGAACAACUGAUUCAGAUAAACAACCAAAACCAGAGACCUUUCCUGCUUCUAUUUUAGGAUAAAAAUAAUUUGCUACCAUUAUUGCUCUAGAGUAUUUUGCUGUUACACUUUCUAAUGAGAGAGAGCAAUAAACUGUCCAGAGAAAUACCACAUCUUGAGUUCUGAAAGAAAACAACAUAUUAGUGAAUGAACUUUCAAAAAAAAAAUCAUUUAUGUAAAAGGAUGCUCUAUUUACAAAGGUCAGUUUGCUCUUCAUGAUACACAUAACCACUACCAGAAAAAAAAUACAUAAAAGAAACACCUCAUCUUUAAAAUAAACAUUUACAAAUACUCUGCUUAAACUACAAGAAAAAUUAAGACAUUUGAAAUUAAGAGUGCAUUCUGCAUGCAGUUAAGACAGAAAUUACAUUGCUGGACUUCAGUGUGUCAUUUCUUAUCAUUGUGAACAACACACACUUGAGCUUUUCUAAAACACCACAGCCAAUCUAUUACCUUAGGAUCUCAAAAUGAGGACAUGGAUCUCCAUUAACAAGUUAUUAGCUACUCUGGUGUU